rnacentral:rRNA from 1 species
AAGGCCUUUUUGGUUGUAAAGUUCUUUUACGAGGGAUAAUUAUGAUAGUACUUCGUGAAUAAGUGACAGCAAACUAUGUGCCAGCAGCUGCGGUAAUACAUAGGUCGCGAGCAUUAUUCGGAUUUAUUGGGCGUAAAGCAAGCGCAGGCGGAUGUGUAAGUUCUGUGUUAAAUGCAGCUACUCAAUAGUUGUAUGCACCGAAUACUACAUGUCUAGAUUGUGGUAGGGAGUUUCGGAAUUAAGCAUGGAGCGGUGGAAUGUGUAGAUAUGCUUAAGAACACCAGAGGCGAAGGCGGAAACUUAGGCCAUAAAUGACGCUUAGGCUUGAAAGUGUGGGGAGCAAAUGGGAUUAGAUACCCCAGUAGUCCACACCGUAAACGAUGGGUAUUAGAUAUUAGGGCUUUAGCUUUAGUGUUGUAGCU